CAAGCCUUCGUACGUGGUCGCGUCGCGCGAUCCGCGAUACCGACCGGAAGCUCCUUGGGACACUUGGCCGUGGCCAUUGCAGGGUCGGACAGAUUUAGCUUGCAUUCGCGUACACGUACAUGACUUUUGUACUACAGUACACCAGGUACACAAAAGAAAGCAUUGCGGCGGGAAGGGAGGAACAGUUACAGAAACGUUUUUUGUUUUUUGUUUUUGUAGAUCAGUGGUAGAUGGACACGUUUCUGUUUUUGUUUUUGUCCUCAUCAUGAUCCGAUAUCAUCAUGGCAAACGAGGUUAGAAUACUAGAUGGAGCGGAGGAAUUGGAGGAUUUCCUGAAAGUUGCCCUACCGCGUGCUAGCUUUGUAACGAGGACCACAGAAAAACCGUUUUCAAACAGUGUUGAAGAGAUCUUCAAGGAGGCCAUUCCGCGUCCAAAGGCCUUCAUUUGGAGCCAUGAACGUGGCGCGAGCUGUGCACAGAUAGCUUUUGACGGAGUUCCGUUCAUCUCCUGCGGCUUUCGCAUACUAGAAUGCCAAUUUGGGAAGCACAGGUGCCACACCACUAAGUCAAGUGAGUCCUCUAGCGAUGUAAGCAGUUCAGCAUCUGUUGAUCAUGCUUACCCCAAAGCCUCAGCUGAUAAGAAGAAGAAGAGGAUUAAACUCCAAGG